AGCAGCCGCGGUAAUUCCAGCUCCAAUAGCGUAUAUUAAAGUUGUUGCAGUUAAAAAGCUCGUAGUUGAAUUUCGGAAUCUGUCCGUCGGUCGGGCUUCACUGUCCGUACUGGUGUGAUGGGUUUCUACCUUCUGAAUAACCGGCAUGUCAUUAAUUUGGUGCGCCGGGGAAGCAGAACUAUUACCUUGAAAAAAUUAGAGUGCUUAAAGCAGGCUAUCGCCUGAAUAGAUUAGCAUGGAAUAAUAAAAUAGGACGGCAUGGUUCUAUUUUGUUGGUUUCUAGGAUCACCGUAAUGAUUAAUAGGGAUAGUUGGGGGCAUUAGUAUUCAAUUGUCAGAGGUGAAAUUCUUGGAUUUAUUGAAGACUAACUUCUGCGAAAGCAUUUGCCAAGGAUGUUUUCAUUAAUCAAGAACGAAAGUUAGGGGAUCGAAGACGAUCAGAUACCGUCGU
rnacentral:rRNA from 1 species